ACCCGCUGAACUUAAGCAUAUUAAUAAGCGGAGGAAAAGAAACUAACAAGGAUUCCCCUAGUAACUGCGAGUGAAGAGGGAAGAGCUCAAAUUUGUAAUCUGGCAGGUUACGCCUGUCCGAGUUGUAAUUUGAAGAAGCGUUUUCUGCGCUGUCGAUGGCACAAGUCCCUUGGAAAAGGGCCGCAGAGAGGGUGAAACGCCCGUCUUUGUCAAAGACAGUCGCUUUACGAUGCGCUUUCUAAGAGUCGGGUUGUUUGGGAAUGCAGCCCAAAGACGGUGGUAAAUUCCAUCUAAAGCUAAAUAUAAGCAAGAGUCCGAUAGCAAACAAGUACCGUGAGGGAAAGAUGAAAAGGACUUUGAAAAGAGAGUUAAAUAGUACGUGAAACUGUUGAAAGGGAAACGCUUGAAACCAGAGGGAUGCGCUGUGAAAUCAGUCGUGCAAUAUUGCGCGGUGCUCUUUUACAGCGCUCAGCCAACAUCGGUUUGAGCAGCCGGAAAUUGGCCAGUGGAAGGUAGCUUGUCUUUCGGGGCAAGUAUUAUAGCCACGGUUGGUGCGGCUAAUUGGACCGAGGGAAGCGGCGUGAGCUUGCUGCCGGCUUGGUGUUAUUGAAGCGAAGGCUUUACAGACAGUCUGACUGAUUGUGGAGCAGUAGCGGCAAUGCAUUAGGUGCAGGACAUUCACGUCAAGGUUGUUGGCGAGUUGGUUUUAAACGACCCGUCUUGAAACACGG
rnacentral:rRNA from 1 species